rnacentral:rRNA from 1 species
GAUUAACGCUGGCGGCGUGCAUAACACAUUCAAGUCGAACGGUGAGGGGGCUUCGGCCCCUGAUCAGUGGCGGACGGGUGAGUAACGCGUGAGCAACCAGCCCUUGUGUGGGGGAUAACGUUUGGAAACGGACGCUAAUACCGCAUAACCCAAUAGUACGGCAUAGUACAGAUGGCAACGAUUUAUUGCACAAGGAUGGGCUCGCGUCUGAUUAGGUAGUUGGUGGGGUAACGGCCUACCAAGCCCGCGAUCAGUAGCCGGACUGAGAGGUUGAACGGCCACAUUGGAACUGAGAUACGGUCCAGACUCCUACGGGAGGCAGCAGUGGGGAAUAUUGGGCAAUGGGGGAAACCCUGACCCAGCGACGCCGCGUGAGGGAAGAAGGUCUUCGGAUUGUAAACCUUAAACAACAGGGACGAAGAAAGUGACGGUACCUGGAGAAAAAGCAACGGCUAACUACGUGCCAGCAGCCGCGGUAAGAC